rnacentral:rRNA from 1 species
GACGAACGCUGGCGGCGUGCUUAACACAUGCAAGUCGAACGAAGAGCGAUGGAAGCUUGCUUCUAUCAAUCUUAGUGGCGAACGGGUGAGUAACGCGUAAUCAACCUGCCCUUCAGAGGGGGACAACAGUUGGAAACGACUGCUCAUACCGCAUACGAUCUAAUCUCGGCAUCGAGGAUAGAUGAAAGGUGGCCUCUACAUGUAAGCUAUCACUGAAGGAGGGGAUUGCGUCUGAUUAGCUAGUUGGAGGGGUAACGGCCCACCAAGGCGAUGAUCAGUAGCCGGUCUGAGAGGAUGAACGGCCACAUUGGGACUGAGACACGGCCCAGACUCCUACGGGAGGCAGCAGUGGGGAAUCUUCCGCAAUGGACGAAAGUCUGACGGAGCAACGCCGCGUGAGUGAUGACGGCCUUCGGGUUGUAAAGCUCUGUUAAUCGGGACGAAAGGCCUUCUUGCGAAUAGUGAGAAGGAUUGACGGUACCGGAAUAGAAAGCCACGGCUAACUACGUG